GCGUCAUACUGAACACAACCAAAAGGGUGUGCACACGUGUGCAACCACCUUGUAUCAUAUUUAUUUUUACGACCCCUUAGACCAGUUCCAAAUAUCCAUGUUCAUUAUUAUUAUUAUUAUAUUGGGGGGAGGAGAUUGUAAAUGACGCCUAGACUUACGUCACUGAAAUUUACCUUCUCACAUGAGAAGCGCAAUGCAUUCUGGGUGAUAUUGCCCAUUACCUGUUGGCAGUCUGAAUUACUGCGCCAACAUGGAAGAAUGUGUCCAGUGCUGCAGUGAUUGUGUGCGUCUCUGAUCCACAAGUACUCAAAGCGCUUUACACUGUUACCUCAUUCACCAACUGAUGACGCAGCAUCGGGAGCAACUGGGUGUUCAGUAUCUUGCUCAAGGCCACUUCAACAUGGACGCAAUGGCCGGGGGGAUUGAACCACAAACUUCUGGGUUGGGAAACGAUCACUCUACCACUGAGCCGCUUUGGCUCUCCACUGGAGAACAUCACAUCAUGGUCGUCACUGGCAUCACCGGGGCUGGGAACGUGGUGGACACCGAUACGAACGGUAUUUUGGAACAU